GCCAUGUUGGUGAAGCGCCGGGGCUGCUAAUGCUCCCUCCCCUCUUCCUCUUUGGCUCUCUCUCUCUCUUUUUCCAGACACCUUAAGGAAUUCAACAACCCCUCCCCUGCACACAGGCUUCUUCCAGAUGCCAUGUUGCAAGAUUUCCUCUGGAGAGGGCCUCUUGGCAAGGAACUGAUGUCUCUGGCCAGCAGCCAGCGAGGACCUAAGAUCUGUCAACAGCCAUGUUGUCAGAGCUUGAAGGCAAAUUAUCGGUCUUCUUCCUCUUUAUUCCUCCAGCACCCAGCUGGGAGUAGGCAGAAGGGACAAUGAAUUGUGACUCGGAAAUUAAUCAGAUGAGACCUGAUGACUGAAGUACAUCACAGAGCUAGGAAGAGAGAUUACUAAGCAACACGGUGAGAGCUCCAUCCUCUGGGUAUUCAGCCAACUACAGAUCACUCAAAGGCAGACAUUCUGGGAUCUUCCAUCCAUCAAGCUGAACCAGAGUACAAGGCCAAAACCAGUGAAUGACAAAGCAACCCCAUGCCCAGCUUAAGAGUUUCCUCAGAGAGUUUGUCUUGUAGGAGUCAUUAGACACUAAUUUGAUUCUAUUUGCAUGUGCACACCCUGCCCUUUGCCAAACAGGGAGAGAAUCACACUUGAGAGCUAGCGCUCAGCUCAGUCUCUUCUCCACACCACGCUAGUGCACCAAGAACAAGGUUAUAGGUGUGGCAAAAAAACAAACCCUGCCAAUGCUCUAAGUAUAUGUUUGAUGUAAUCUUAUUUCUCAUAAAAUUAAGAGGAUAAUAUUUUUAGGUGAUGCAGAGUAUGAGACUGUCAUUAGGUUACUCUGAAUCUCUUUCUCUCUCUCUCUUCAUGGUAAAAAUUAAGUUCCAUUAGGAAAAUUCUUCCUCCCCUUCCUUCCUCCCAUUGGUCUUUCCUCCUAAGAUCCAGGUAGCUCUGAGAAAGUUUGUUUCAUCUAUGCGUUGGCCUGGGAAUCCUCCUCUUGUUAAUCUACACAAAUAAAAUCAUCUUAAAGAUCGAAA
rnacentral:lncRNA from 1 species